rnacentral:misc_RNA from 1 species
GUGAAUCAUCGAAUUUUUGAACGCAAAUUGCGCUCUCCGCGAAGAGUAUGCCUGUUUGAGUUUCAGCCUAUAAAAUCGACAUCGUUGCUGUUUCGCGGUGGCGUUCGUCGGAAAUUGGGGCAUUUUAAAGCCUUUUGAUUUAAUCGACGUAAAAUUUUCUUUUGGUUCCAUUAACGUUUCUAAGAUCUAUUUCUUUAGACGUUUAAGGUAUCGAUUUUUACUAUACGUUACCAUCAUAUCGUAUCGCGUUCAUAAUUUUUCA